rnacentral:tRNA from 2 species
GGGACGGUAGCUCGCUAUGGAGGCGAGGCGGUCCGUAAAAUCGAUGUGUCCAACACCAGCCAGGUUCGAUUCCUGGACGUCCCA